GGGCAGGGAGAGCCGCCUCACGCCCCUGCGUGGAUUGCCCCCCCCCCCCCCCCUCACACAACAGCCUUUCGCCCCGUCUUCCCGGGUUUGCAGCUCCGGCCCGGAGCUGAGGCGGUGGGUGGGUCCAAAGGUAAACAGAGCGCCGGAUUAUUUCUGGUUGCUGUAGGGGAAUGCAAACGUGAUGAAAUCCUCUCCGCAGGCUCUGCCUCCAGGAGAGCAGUGAGCAGUCAGAUGGAACCUCUCGAAGCAUUGCUAAGUUCUGGACAAACCCCCAGGUGCUUGCAAAACUGCACUACGGAAACCACUCGGCAUCGUCAGGCGGUUCCCACCGGCACCGCCGGCCUUCGAUGUCAGCCUUUCCUGCGGGGAAUGCGAGGCGGCCCCACCGGCCGGAGCAACAGGGGGAGUGCUUGUGAAAGGGAACCCCCAGAACACGGCAGCCUCUGAGCCUCCAGAAACAGAUGGCAACACUAAGGAACUGAGGACAAGGUAGCCAGUCCUGCACUACAGAAUAGCAGUUCUCUAUUCCCCUGGCCAUCCCAUCAGGUCAUCAUCCUCAGUGAGUGAAGAGCCAGCGCCAAGAAAGAGCACCUCGGCCUGCAGAAGGGGAUGUAAGGCAGAGAUGGGGAAGCAGUAGCCUCAGCUUUCUUACACUCUUUGUCCACCACCAGAAGUUGUUGGAGUUUAUCUGCAGCAAGCUGACAGACUACUGAACUCCAGCGUGCAACCUGACCCCCUGGCAUCAGUGAGUAACAUGGCACCUAACUGCAACCCUCAAAAGCCUUUUCCUCUUAGAAGCAAGCUCUAAAUUGCAGUGCAUCUGAAAUGAAAUGAAAUAGUAAACUCUUUGGGUUUGUAGUCUGAAGUGCUAUUACAAUUGUAGGUGCUGCAAAAUAGAUGCUUUAUACAGUAAAAUAAUUCUUUUCAUGAGAGUUUUAUGUUAAUUUCUUCCACUUCACUGCUAUCUACAGGACGAUCUCUUUUCAUUAAUUCUAUAACAAUAGCCUUAUUUCUCCAUGUUUUUAUUAGAUCUAAAAAUGGUAUAAAAUGAAAGAUGUUGACAGUUUCACCGUACAGAAAACGGAAAGAAAGACUUGAAAUGAAUACAAAUAAUUAUAUGAAAUCUAACUAAUUACUAUCUGUAAAACAUGUAGGUUUGCAACAAGAAAGUAGUGCAGGAAAUAGUGAAUCAUGAAGGGGAGAAUAGCUAGAUAGAAUACCCUGCAUGGAGCAUUAUAACUAUCUGAAAAACAAACAAAUGAAGGACACUAACAAUUUGCCACAGUAAUAUGUCUUUCUAAUGCACUGAAACCUAAGUUUUUCCGAAAGAAACAAAACAUUUUUCCUAAAGAUGGUCCUGCAACUCUCUUCAGAUUCUCGCAGUAUGCUUAAAUGAAUUGACUGGCCGUAACCCAAACCACUGUGACUGGAAAUUUAGGGAAACAUGGCAUAGUCACUCUUUUUCCUUGCCUAAAUUGUGAUAAUCUGGUGUUGAAAAAAUGCCUCUCACUGUGUCUUGAAGUCCAUUGCUAUAAUGAUAAAUGAUUACAAAAUUGUUGAUUGCAACUUCUUGAAAGUUUUGUUUAGUUUUAAAUGUCUCUAAACUAAAAGGCAAAAAGAAGUUUUCUACCUACCAUCUCAUGCACUCAAGCCUUAGACCUGUGGUAAAACAGUUCCAAACCCUUACACAAAUGAGCGCUCACGGUGCUGAAGAAGACAGGGCAGACCGGUGAGGCAAUUGCACGUGUCAGGGCGCAUCCAGACUGUCAGAAGCAUGAGGCCUUUGCCAAUGGGACUGUCACCAAAAUGUUUGGAGUGAUGCCAUUUCUGCGUAGACAUCAGCGAUUGCAUUAGGUUUGAGUGGUGCUCGCAAUUUUGUACCCGGGGGUGGGUUAUGGCAUGACCGUGGCCAUCCCUAUUCAUUUUCAGCUGUAGCUGAGGACGUAGCAUCGUAGCGCUGGCUGCAUUUUGCCUGUUCCUCUUGAGCAAGCAAAGCGCCUGCAGCCAGAUCUGCCUGCAAAGACCCCCGAAGCAUCGCAGUUCAUAACGAGGACAAAUGCACCCUCGGGAAACCCAGUGAUGUUGUUUAAGCAUUGCUUAAUCAAAAAGAAGCUAUUUCUUAGUUUAAAGAGAGUGUUGCUAUUUUUUCUUUGCUCUUGAAGCUUUAGUUGGAGAUGACUCUGUUCAGCUCUCUCCAUCAAUUAUUCAGUGAUACAGAGGCCAAACAAGUCUAGAAGUGACUUGCUGAAUUCUUUCUUUGUCUUCCUGCUGAGGAAAACCCUUUUCCAACACAAUACAUAAAGGAUUGCUGUACUAGUUUAGACUGUUUUGCAAUGCCAGGCCUAAGCUGGUGUCAACAGCAGAUGACAACAGCCAUCCCGAAAACCUCUUGUGUUUCCUUUACAAGAUCUUCACUUCUGGAAAAAGGUUUAAGAUUUGCAAUUCAACUAGUGUUACUUAAUCUGACUAAGUGACUUAGCUGAAGUCAGAGGUGCUGCAUUUACAAUU